ACGCACGCUGGCGGCGUGCUUAACACAUGCAAGUCGAACGGAAAGGCCCUGCUUUUGUGGGGUGCUCGAGUGGCGAACGGGUGAGUAACACGUGAGUAACCUGCCCUUGACUUUGGGAUAACUUCAGGAAACUGGGGCUAAUACCGGAUAGGAGCUCCUGCUGCAUGGUGGGGGUUGGAAAGUUUCGGCGGUUGGGGAUGGACUCGCGGCUUAUCAGCUUGUUGGUGGGGUAGUGGCUUACCAAGGCUUUGACGGGUAGCCGGCCUGAGAGGGUGACCGGCCACAGUGGGACGGAGAUACGGCCCAGCCUCCUCGGGGAGGCAGAAGGGGGGAAUAUUGCAAAAGGGGCGGAAGCCUGAUGCAGCAACGCCGCGUGGGGGAUGACGGCCUUGGGGUUGUAACCCGCUUUCGCCGGUGACGAAGCGUGAGGGAGGGAAAUGGGUAAAGAAGCCCCGGCUAACACCGGC
rnacentral:rRNA from 1 species